rnacentral:lncRNA from 10 species
AAGUGCCUGCAGCCCACGCCUCUGAGACAGGCCAGGCGUGUGGUGGACACGCAGCUGCAGGCGCUUGCUCUCUGUCAUCACGAGAAAAAGUAUCCCUGCACCGGACAAGAAAGGACCUGCAGGCACACUCACAAUCAACUUCCUGAUUUCACAAUGAUGCGAACUCUCCAUCGGGACAUGGGACCUGGCUGUACGAGUUAAUUCAAACUGAGCCACUUUCCAUUAGGGCACCAAAUGGAGUUAGCAAUCCAAGAUUAUUUUAUUUUCUGGGCUAUCCAGAUGACUUAAAGCCUCGCUGAAGUUCCCAUGAGAAGAGUUUAAACAACCCAAAGAAAGCACGUAAGAAAGGAAUAACAACAACAAAACCCAGAAAGAAUGAAUAGGAAACAAAUGCAGUGGUUCCCCUUACCUGUGGCGAAGACGUUCCAAGACCCCCAGUGGAUAGUACCAAGCCCUAGAUAUAUGAUAUUUUUUCUGUAUACACACACACCUAUAAUGAAGCUUAAUUUAUAAGUUG